ensembl:lncRNA
GAAAAGGAUGUGGUCAGAGUGAAAAGGAUGUGGUCAGAGUGAAAAGGAUGUGGUCAGAGUGAAAAGGAUGUGGUCAGAGUGAAAAGGAUGUGGUCAGCGGAGGGAAGGAUGUGGUCAGAGUGGGAAGGAUGUGGUCAGCAGAGGGAAGGAUGAGGUCAGCAGAGGGAAGGAUGAGGUCAGCAGAGGGAAGGAUGUGGUCAGCAGAGGGAAGGAUGUGGUCAGCAGAGGGAAGGAUGUGGUCAGAGUGGGAAGGAUGUGGUCAGAGUGGGAAGGAUGAGGUCAGCAGAGGGAAGGAUGAGGUCAGCAGAGGGAAGGAUGUGGGAAGGAUGAGGUCAGCAGAGGGAAGGAUGAGGUCAGAGUGGGAAGGAUGAGGUCAGAGUGGGAAGGAUGAGGUCAGAGUGGGAAGGAUGAGGUCAGAGUGGGAAGGAUGAGGUCAG